AGCUGUUAUGUAGCUCUUCCUGGCUUAUUGAGGAGUCCAGGGAUAGGCCAAAACCAUAUUAGCAGCUUUGAAACAUUCAGGAGGUUAGCAAUUCGGGAGCCAUUAGACAAAGUCAUGACAGAGUCCUCAGCUAAAUCAAAAAAGACCUUACAGGACUUCCUGAUUCCAAAUGCAGGAAAAGGAAUAGCCAGCUCUAUUACAGGCUUAAUCUCUACAGCGGGAGAUCCAGAUGGUGAAGGAAACUCUGCAGGCCAUGCUGAUGCAGCUCCAGCCGGAUAAGGAGGCAGGAGAAGAUGAGGCUGGAGACUUCCUCUGUGACAGCUGGUGUCCAGGAAAACAAGACUUAAAGGAAUAAUAUUGAGGGGAGUCUGGUGUUUUAAUGUUAAUUCACAGAGGGUUGCUUUUAGUAACGGAAUACUGUCUUACCAAGCCUUGAGGAUCUCUUCUCUCCCUGCAUAACUAAUAACAACUAAAUCAAUUAUGGAGAAAUUGAGCCUGGAGGUUUAUCAACAGAAGUGUUCUACACAGCUUCACAUGUUCUGGCACAGACUGGAAAACAGCUUUCAGAGCAGAGCAUCUCCUGUAAUUGUGUAGAUUACAAAUUGAUACAUUUCAAGUGAUUCAGCAGAGUCUCCUUUAAUGUCAGAGUGAGAUUUUUCUGACUGUUAUAAACAACUUCCUUACUUGUGCAUUCUUCAAUCCUUUUCUCCUUCAACAUGUAACAUUAAAGGCAGUAUUCUUCAGUAUUGCUGAGAGACAGCUGAAGAAAUAAGUAAUUUUUUGUCUUUGCAACAUCUUUCUUACACCCACGUUAUUUUCAGAUUCCUACAAAAUAUAAGACCACUAGGACAGAAUUCAAAAUAACCAAAUUCUUCUAACUUAAAUUAGGACUGCACUUACCCAGUGGCAUUCAACAUAGCAGAGAAAAUUAACAUCAGACUAGAGAAUAGUAUCUUUUCAACCAUUUUCAUUUAUAUUUUAUAGCAAAUGCAUAUUAAUACCAAAAGCUCAGAACAUUUAAAGUGAUAACCUACUGAUUUGUGGUCUUUAUAUUUGAAUAAUGUGUGAACAUUGUCAUUUUUCUUAAUACUAUGCUUACUUCUUUAACCUGCCCUGUAUUGUUAUAAAAAUGAAAGGUUUUUGGAUGUGUAUAUACAUACUAAUGUUUGAUAAAGUUACAUUAUCUAUUUAAUCUCUAUUUGCUACAGGAGAAAAGGAAUGGAACUAAAACCAGCUAAAUAUUGGUGAUUUACACUGGUGUGGUAUUCAAACAAUUAGUAAAUUGUGUACUCAUAAAUCAAAACAUUCUUACUUGGAUGCUAAAAUAAACUGAGGUUAUCACAUUUUCA
rnacentral:lncRNA from 1 species